rnacentral:rRNA from 1 species
UACAGAGGUCCCGAGCGUUGUUCGGAUUCACUGGGCGUAAAGGGUGCGUAGGUGGCUUGAAAAGUUUGAUGUGAAAGCUCAGGGCUUAACCCUGAAAUGGCAUUGAAAACUGUCGGGCUGGAGGUUUGGAGGGGGGACUGGAAUUCUUGGUGUAGCAGUGAAAUGCGUAGAUAUCAAGAGGAACACCAGUGGCGAAGGCGAGUCCCUGGACAACACCUGACACUGAGGCACGAAAGCUAGGGGAGCAAACAGG